UAUAAUUAUUUAUUAAUAUUUCUAAAUACAUAACUCUUAUAUAUUAUUAAUAUAUAUUUAUUAUAACUUUGAAUAUAUUUAAUUUAUAUAAAAAAAGCAUAAAAAUAAUAUAUAUAGUAUAUUAGUUAUUAUAUAUUUAUUAUAUAGCCGAAUUUUUGAUUCCGUAUUUUUAAUUGGUAAACGUAUAAUAUCCGUAUAAAUUACGUAUCCGAACAAUUACCAAAUCCGUUUUUUGGCUAUAUUUUUCAACGAAUUUAAAAGUUAAAAGACGAAUUUUAUCCGAAUUAUACCCGUCCGAAUUUUUGCCGAAUCCGAAUUAACUAGCUAUGGAUAAGAUACAAUGAGUUUGUCAGAUUGAAUAAAUUAAAAUAGAUUAAACUUUUAAGAGGAUAUUUUACUUAUUAUUUAUCAAAAAUCUCUCCUAGAUAAUAUGAUAUCAUAGUCGGCUCUAAAUUUUUACAAAUCUGCGGUGGUGCGUUUGAUCUCCAUCUCUGUCAUUAGUUUAAUUAGUUAUAUUUUUUUUGUCAUAUUAUUAUAAUAGAUUAAAUUUCUAUUUCUUACCUCGUCACUCAUUCACUCACCUAUCUUUUUUUUUUUCUUUUUUUUUUCUUUUUUUUUUUAAGAGAGAUAAGCAACAUGCUAUCUGUUUCGUUUAUUUUAUUUAGAAAUAAACUUAGCUGGAAAUAUGAAUCAACUAGGAUUCCAACUUGGGUCUCGGAUACUAACCACCAAGCCCUUUACCACUUACUCUAGAGACGGUCGGUCUCAAUCACUCAUCUAUCCUAUUAUUUGUGCACACGAAGGAGAGUUCUAAGAUUAUUUCUUACUAAUUUUUUUAUGGGAAAACUUCAAAAACCCUCCUAGUGGUUUCGUAGUUUCUCACUUUGCCCCCCUGUGGUUUAAAGUGUAUCAAUUUGCCCCCCUGUGGUUUCAUUUUUAUUUUUUCGGUAGUUUUUUCGUUAAUAUUUCAUUAAAUUAUAUACAAAAAACUUCAGAUACUCAUCUAGAUUUAUCAAAUAUUCACUUUAGUACCCUUUAAUUUUAACUUUAUCACUGAUUUAAGAAAAAAAAAAUAAUAAAAUUGAUAAGAAAAAGAGAAAAAAGAAACCACAUGGAGGCAAAUUGAUACAUUUUAAACCACAGGGGGGUAAAGUGAGAAACUACGAAACCACAGGGAGGGUUUUUGAAGUUUUCCCUUUUUUUAAUUGUAUCAACCUUUAAAUACUAUGCAAUAAUAAUAAAUAGAAGUUGAUAACACAAUUGGG
rnacentral:lncRNA from 1 species